UAUUUUCGAGACAGUUGUAAC
rnacentral:miRNA from 1 species